GAUGAAGAACGUAGCGAAAUGCGAUACUUGGUGUGAAUUGCAGAAUCCCGUGAACCAUCGAGUCUUUGAACGCAAGUUGCGCCCGAAGCCAUUAGGCCGAGGGCACGCCUGCCUGGGUGUCACACGUCGUUGCCCCCCCAUCUACUCCUUCGGGAUUGCGGGGGGCGGAUGAUGGCCUCCCGUGCGCCUCGUCGCGCGGUUGGCAUAAAUGCCAAGUCCUCGGCGACGCACGCCACGACAAUCGGUGGUUGCGAAACCUCGGUUGCCCGUCGUGUGCGGUCGUCGCGCAUCGAGGGCUCGAAGAAAUUGCCGGGCUCCGGCUCGGCUUUCAACGCGACCCCAGGUCAGGCGGGGUUACCCGCUGAAUUGAAGCAUAUCAAUAAGCGGAGGA
rnacentral:misc_RNA from 1 species